rnacentral:rRNA from 1 species
AGGACGAACGCUGGCGGCGUGCUUAACACAUGCAAGUCGAGCGGAAGGGCCCUUCGGGGUACUCGAGCGGCGAACGGGUGAGUAACACGUGAGCAACCUGCCCUUAGCUUCGGGAUAGCUCCGGGAAACCGGAAUUAAUACCGAAUAUGACUUUGGCUGACAUCAGCAGAAGUGGAAAGUUUUUCGGCUAGGGAUGGACUCGCGGCCUAUCAGCUAGUUGGUGAGGUACGGCCCACCAAGGCGACGACGGGUA